AGAGUUUGAUCAUGGCUCAGAAUCAACGCUGGCGGCGUGCCUAACACAUGCAAGUCGAGCGAGAAAAGGGGGGCAACUCCCUGAGUACAGCGGCGACGGGUGAGUAACACGUGGGUAAUCUGCCCUGGAGUGGGGAAUAACACCGGGAAACCGGUGCUAAUACCGCAUACGAUCACGGAGCUGCGGAUUUUGUGAUGAAAGGAGCAAUUCGCUCUAGGAGGAGCCCGCGGCUGAUUAGCUAGUUGGUGAGGUAAUGGCUCACCAAGGCAACGAUCAGUAUCCGGUCUGAGAGGACGGUCGGACACACUGGAACUGAGACACGGUCCAGACUCCUACGGGAGGCAGCAGUGGGGAAUUUUUGGCAAUGGGGGCAACCCUGACCAAGCAACGCCGCGUGGGUGAUGAAGUCUCUUGGGACGUAAAACCCUUUCGACGGGGACGAAACCGCAAGGUUGACGGUACCCGUAGAAGAAGCCCCGGCUAACUCCGUGCCAGCAGCCGCGGUAAUACGGGGGGGGGCAAGCGUUGUUCGGAAUUACUGGGCGUAAAGGGCGCGUAGGCGGUGCUCUAAGUCGGAUGUGAAAACUCUGGGCUCAACCCAGAGCCUGCAUCCGAAACUGGAGUGCUAGAGUUCUGGAGGGGGUAGCGGAAUUCCUGGUGUAGCGGUGAAAUGCGUAGAUAUCAGGAGGAACACCGGUGGCGAAGGCGGCUACCUGGACAGAAACUGCGCUGAGGCGCGAAAGCUAGGGGAGCAAACAGGAUUAGAUACCCUAGUAGUCC
rnacentral:rRNA from 1 species